ACUACCUUGGUGUAGUGGUUAACACCCCAGACUUGCAGUUAACGAGGGACUCAGGUUCGAUGCCUGGCGGCAUUU
rnacentral:tRNA from 1 species